ACUUCCUUCCUGCCCUUUCCUACCUCUACUCACUCUUCUGACAAACUCCUUGGAGCUAAAACCUCACCAGGUGUCUCUUCCUCCACUGCUUGCACCACUGUUUCCUUCCGUCCUCCCUCAGGUCACAGAAAUGUAAAUGGAAUUUCAGAGAAUUUAAUUUAUGUCUUAAUGAACUCAAAUGUCAACUAUCUCUUAAGGGGUUCAAAAAACCAAGUAACAGCAGGAAGAGUAAACAGGGUAAGGUUAGUUUUUGUUUUGUUUUAAAGAAACCUUUUGCCUUUCUUCUGUUUUCUAUUUCUUGGCAUAUCAUUAACAAUUUUAUUUUGCUAUUUCAUUUUAAGUAAAAAAUU
rnacentral:lncRNA from 1 species